rnacentral:tRNA from 1 species
CCCUGGCUGGCUCACUCGAUAGAGCAUGGGACUCUUGAACUCAAGGUUGUGAGUUCAAGCCCCAUGUUGGGCA